rnacentral:lncRNA from 1 species
GCCUAACCUUUUUGUCAGCAAUUUGAUGGGUCGUCUGGACGGAUAGAAACAAUUCCAUUUUCCGGACAGCACCCUCCAACGCUAUCCGAUCUCUGGCUCGUGUUAAUCUAUUAACGAAGGCUUGGAACAAACUACUAUGAUAUGUCUUUAGCUUUCUGUACCUUACUUUUCUCUUUUUCUACUUCCUCCCUCCUCCCUUUUUUCUUUUUUUCGCUUCUUCUUACUAUUUUUUUAUCUGUUUUCAGAGGCCAAAGUUGCUUCCACUUUAUAUGUUUAGUUUAUUUUACUUAAUGAAUGAAAUAUGUAGCUCGCUACCUAUUUCUCAAAAAAGAAUCAUAUAUGUUUUGCGUAAACGGUACGAAUGAAAUAUGUAGCUCGCUAUCUAUUUCUCAAAAAAGAAUCAUGCAUGUUUCGCGUAAACCGUACCAAAAACAUAGCAUUACC